rnacentral:rRNA from 1 species
UACAGAGGGGGCAAGCGUUGUUCGGAAUUACUGGGCGUAAAGGGCGCGUAGGCGGCCCGGUAAGUCCGCUGUGAAAGUCGGGGGCUCAACCCUCGAAUGCCGGUGGAUACUGUCGGGCUAGAGUGCGGGAGAGGCGAGUGGAAUUCCUGGUGUAGCGGUGAAAUGCGCAGAUAUCAGGAGGAACACCAAUUGCGAAGGCAGCUCGCUGGGACGGUACUGACGCUGAGACGCGAAAGCGUGGGGAGCAAACAGG